rnacentral:rRNA from 1 species
UACGGGGGGGGCAAGCGUUGUUCGGAAUUACUGGGCGUAAAGGGCUCGUAGGCGGCCAACUAAGUCAGACGUGAAAUCCCUCGGCUUAACCGGGGAACUGCAUCUGAUACUGGAUGGCUUGAGAUUGGGAGAGGGAUGCGGAAUUCCAGGUGUAGCGGUGAAAUGCGUAGAUAUCGGGAGGAACACCAGUGGCGAAGGCGGCUACCUGGCCCAUUCUUGACGCUGAGGCGCGAAAGCCAGGGGAGCGAACGGG